rnacentral:rRNA from 1 species
UACGUAGGGGGCAAGCGUUGUCCGGAAUCAUUGGGCGUAAAGAGCGCGUAGGCGGCCCAGUAAGUCCGCUCUGAAAGUCAGAGGCUCAACCUCUGAAUGCGGGUGGAUACUGCUGGGCUAGAGUCCGGAAGAGGCGAGUGGAAUUCCUGGUGUAGCGGUGAAAUGCGCAGAUAUCAGGAGGAACACCGAUGGCGAAGGCAGCACUCUGGGACGUGACUGACGCUGAGACGCGAAAGCGUGGGGAGCAAACAGG